GGGUAAUUAGUCCAGCGAAGAUACUUGAUUUCGGCUCAAGAGAUUGAGGUUCAAACCCUCAAUUACCCU
rnacentral:tRNA from 1 species